CCAUCUGUGGAGAUAUUCAAAGCCUGAACAAAAUCUGAGGCAAUCUGCUAUAACUGACCCUGCUCGAGCAGGUUGGUUGGUCUGGAAAGAAGCUAGACAUGCUGACAAGGUUCCAGGACAGCAACUAAAUGCCUUGGUAAAUUUAAAUGUGUGAAUAUUCCCAGCAGAAGGUGAUUCUGUUGUCUGUUAAAAAGAAGUAAAUCUGCAGUAUGUAGGAAGACAGAACAUGGGAACUAAGAAAAAAAAAACAGCUCUUUGAAAAUUUUUUGAAAACCUACUGAAAAUGUAUUUAGAAACUGGAAGAUUUUUAGAAAUUGGAAGAUUCUGGAAUCAGAGAGCACAAUGAGCCAAAAGAUGAAUCUAGAACGAGUGAUGUAACGAAUGGGGCCCUCCAAUCUCUGAGCAGCAUCAAAGUACUAGAGGUUGCUAGAUAAUGCUGUUCCAGACUCUGUAAAAAAAGCAGUGACUGCUGGUGAUUUUCUUUAAACAACAGCUCUAGACUGGCUUAAUUUUGUAAUGUCUUAGUGGACGUUUUUGCACAAUAGGGGAUAUACACUGCAGCAAAAAAAUCUCCAUUGUUACAGCUGUGUUUGGAAUUCCAGCAAUAUAUAUCAGUUUCAUCAAUAAACCUGUUGUCAA